rnacentral:misc_RNA from 1 species
GAUGAAGAACGUAGCGAAAUGCGAUAAGUAAUGUGAAUUGCAGAAUUCAGUGAAUCAUCGAAUCUUUGAACGCACAUUGCGCCCGCCAGUAUUCUGGCGGGCAUGCCUGUUCGAGCGUCAUUUCAACCAUCAAGCCCCCGGCUUGUGUUGGGGACCUGCGGCUGCCGCAGGCCCUGAAAACCAGUGGCGGGCUCGCUGUCACACCGAGCGUAGUAGAUUACUCUUCGCUCAGGGCGUGCAGCGGGUUCCGGCCGUGAAACCCCCUACUUUUAAAGGUUGACCUCGGAUCAGGUAGGAAUACCCGCUGAACUUAAGCAUAUCAAUAAGCGGAGGA